rnacentral:rRNA from 1 species
GAUGAACGCUGGCGGCGUGCCUAAUACAUGCAAGUCGAGCGAACAGACGAGGAGCUUGCUCCUCUGACGUUAGCGGCGGACGGGUGAGUAACACGUGGAUAACCUACCUAUAAGACUGGGAUAACUUCGGGAAACCGGAGCUAAUACCGGAUAAUAUAUUGAACCGCAUGGUUCAAUAGUGAAAGACGGUUUUGCUGUCACUUAUAGAUGGAUCCGCGCCGCAUUAGCUAGUUGGUAAGGUAACGGCUUACCAAGGCAACGAUGCGUAGCCGACCUGAGAGGGUGAUCGGCCACACUGGAACUGAGACACGGUCCAGACUCCUACGGGAGGCAGCAGUAGGGAAUCUUCCGCAAUGGGCGAAAGCCUGACGGAGCAACGCCGCGCGAGUGAUGAAGGUCUUCGGAUCGUAAAACUCUGUUAUUAGGGAAGAACAAAUGUGUAAGUAACUAUGCACGUCUUGACGGUACCUAAUCAGAAGGCCACGGCUAACUACGUG